UUUAAAUUUGGGAUGGGGGGAUAUUAAUCUGGACGUCUAAGGCAGUGGAGAACAUGAAGUCAUGCUCUCUGUCCAUCUGCUUGACCCUCUCCUGAUAAUUCUUGAAUACUCUGGCAUUUUGAACCAGAUUUGACAGCGGCAGUCGAGCUCUCAGAGAUGAUAAAGUCCCUCUGAGUUCCAGGGAAAUCUCUGCCGGCGCUGAGAAGAGAGGCUUUCCAGAUCCACUGCUGAAGAAAAGGCAGGGAGAGCUCAGCUGUUAUCCAUUCUCUCUGGCAGCAUCCAGAUGGCCAAUUAUCACACGUCUACUUCUGGACCAGCAUCUGCUCUCCCCUGCCCAGCUGGCAGGCUGAGAAGAUUAGGAAUGGAAGAUCUGAGCAAGACCUGCAGGUUGUCCCUCCAACGCUGGGCUGAGCUGGGAUUAUUUCCUCACAGGUUCUCCACAGAGGAUCAGAGCUGCCUGGAGGGAAGCACAUCUCUGGGAGUACCAAGACCAUGAUAUCUCCAUGUCCUGGCAGAGGUGAUGUAAAAAGGGCUGUG
rnacentral:lncRNA from 1 species